GCCAGCCCGCUCAAGAAACGUUAAAGGAAUUGGACGGGGGCCCGCACAAGCGGUGGAGCAUGUGGUUUAAUUCGAUGAUACGCGAGGAACCUUACCUGGGCUCAAAUGUAUGUUGACGUAUUCUGAAAGGGAUACUUCUUCGGACAAUAUACAAGGUGCUGCAUGGUUGUCGUCAGCUCGUGCCGUGAGAUGUUGGGUUAAGUCCCGUAACGAGCGCAACCCUUGUCCUUAGUUACCAGCACGUUAUGGUGGGCACUCUAAGGAGACUGCCGGUGACAAACCGGAGGAAGGUGGGGAUGACGUCAAGUCCUCAUGGCCUUUAUGACCAGGGCUACACACGUACUACAAUGGCCGAUACAAAGGGCAGCGACACUGCGAGGUGAAGCCAAUCCCGUAAAAUCGGUCUCAGUCCGGAUUGGAGUCUGCAACUCGACUCCAUGAAGUUGGAAUCGCUAGUAAUCGUGGAUCAGCAUGCCACGGUGAAUACGUUCCCGGGCCUU
rnacentral:rRNA from 1 species